AGUCGUGGGGCAGCGCAGGUAGCAAUACUGGGCGGCGACCGGCAAACGGGUGCGGAACACGUACACAACCUUCCGAGAAGUGGGGAAUAGCCCAGAGAAAUUUGGAUUAAUACCCCGUAACAUAACGAUGUGGCAUCACAUUGUUAUUAUAGCUUCGGCGCUUCUUGAUGGGUGUGCGGCUGAUUAGAUAGUUGGCGGGGUAACGGCCCACCAAGUCUACGAUCAGUAGCUGAUGUGAGAGCAUGAUCAGCCACACGGGCACUGAGACACGGGCCCGACUCCUACGGGAGGCAGCAGUAAGGAAUAUUGGUCAAUGGACGCAAGUCUGAACCAGCCAUGCCGCGUGAAGGAUUAAGGUCCUCUGGAUUGUAAACUUCUUUUAUCUGGGACGAAAAAAGGCGACUCUUCGUCACUUAACGGUACCAGAUGAAUAAGCACCGGCUAACUCCGUGCCAGCAGCCGCGGUAAUACGGAGGGUGCAAGCGUUAUCCGGAUUCACUGGGUUUAAAGGGUGCGUAGGCGGGCAGGUAAGUCAGUGGUGAAAUCCUAGAGCUUAACUCUAGAACUGCCAUUGAUACUAUCUGUCUUGAAUAUUGUGGAGGUAAGCGGAAUAUGUCAUGUAGCGGUGAAAUGCUUAGAUAUGACAUAGAACACCUAUUGCGAAGGCAGCUUACUACGCAUAUAUUGACGCUGAGGCACGAAAGCGUGGNNNUCAAACAGGAUUAGAUNNNNNNGUAGUCCACGCCCUAAACGAUGAUUACUNNNNNNUUGUGAUACACUAUAAGUGUCUGAGCGAAAGCAUUAAG
rnacentral:rRNA from 1 species